UUCCGGUUGAUCCUGCCGGACCCCACUGCUAUCGAGAUGGGACUAAAGUAUGCUAGUCGAACGACCAGAACUAUGUCUGGAAGUGGCACACUGCUCAGUAACACGUAGCUAACCUACCCUUAGGACGUGGAUACCCCCGAGAAAUUGGGGUUAAUCCGCGAUAGAUGUAAUGUCCUGGAAUGGUAUUACGUCUAAAGGUAUUUCAUACAUGUUUGAAAUAUGCCUAAGGAUGGGGCUGCGGCCGAUCAGGCUGUUGGUGAGGUAAUGGCUCACCAAACCUUUGACCGGUACGGGCCAUGAGAGUGGUAGCCCGGAGAUGGACACUGAGACAAGGGUCCAGGCCCUAAGGGGCGCAGCAACCGCGAAACCUCCACAAUGCACUAACGUGCGAUGGGGCUAUCUCGAGUGCCACCUGAUGAAGGUGGCUUUUCCUUGGUCUUCAAAGCCUUGGGAAUAAGAGGGGGGCAAGACUGGUGUCAGCCGCCGCGGUAACACCAGCCCCUCGAGUGGUGGGGAUGAUUAUUUGGCCUAAAGCGUCCGUAGCCGGCCGUGAAAGUCUUCCGUUAAAUCCAGCGUCUCAAGCGUUGGACCGCGGGAGAUACUACACGGCUAGAGAGUGGGAGAGGUCAGCGGUAUUCUGGGGGUAGGGGCGAAAUCCUUUGAUCCCCGGAGGACCACCAGUGGCGAAGGCUGCUGACUAGAACACGUCUGACGGUCAGGGACGAAAGCUGGGGUAGCGAACCGGAUUAGAUACCCGGGUAGUCCCAGCCGUAAACGAUGCAUGCUAGGUGUUGGGUUGGCCACGAGCCACCCCAGUGCCGCAGGGAAGCCGUUAAGCAUGCC
rnacentral:rRNA from 1 species